GACGAACGCUGGCGGCGUGCUUAACACAUGCAAGUCGAACGGAAAGGCCUCUUUCGGGGGGUACUCGAGUGGCGAACGGGUGAGUAACACGUGAGUAACCUGCCCUUGACUUUGGGAUAACUUCAGGAAACUGGGGCUAAUACCGGAUAGGAGCUCCUGCUGCAUGGUGGGGGUUGGAAAGUUUCGGCGGUUGGGGGUGGACUCGCGGCUUAUCAGCUUGUUGGUGGGGUAGUGGCUUACCAAGGCUUUGACGGGUAGCCGGCCUGAGAGGGUGACCGGCCACAUUGGGACUGAGAUACGGCCCAGACUCCUACGGGAGGCAGCAGCGGGGAAUAUUGCACAAUGGGUGGAAGCCUGAUGCAGCAACGCCGUGUGCGGGAUGACGGCCUUCGGGUUGUAAACCGCUUUCGCUCAUGACGAAGCUUUGUGUGACGGUAGUGGGUAAAGAAGCACCGGCUAACUACGUG
rnacentral:rRNA from 1 species